GAUGAACGCUGGCGGCGUGCUUAACACAUGCAAGUCGAACGAAGCAUGGAAGACGGAAUUUUUCGGAAGGAAGUCUUCUAUGACUGAGUGGCGGACGGGUGAGUAACGCGUGGGUAACCUGCCUCAUACAGGGGGAUAACAGUUAGAAAUGACUGCUAAUACCGCAUAAGACCACAGUGCCGCAUGGCACAGGGGCCAAAGCCUUGACGGUAUGAGAUGGACCCGCGUCUGAUUAGGUAGUUGGUGGGGUAACGGCCUACCAAGCCGACGAUCAGUAGCCGACCUGAGAGGGUGACCGGCCACAUUGGGACUGAGACACGGCCCAA
rnacentral:rRNA from 1 species